UAUUCUCAGGACUAACUUUUUUACUGGCACUACUGCAAAAUGUUUCAUAUUUAUCUAGGGUCCUGUGAAAUCCUUGGAUUGGUGUGAACUUCUUAAUGCUAUUUGUGUGUUUAAUCUGUACACUUAUAUUUGUGGCACCUCUAGAGGUUAAACCAAAAGAUUGACCAUGUGGCACCUUUAUGCAGUCUAACAUGGAUUGUGAAUUGUGCUCCGUGGCACCUUUUUAGAGGUCAAAUGACUAGAUAUUUGUGUUUGCACGUCAAAGUGUGGUAUAUUAUGAAUUGCAAUGUUGUACGCCCUGAUGGCUAAAUUCAUGUUAUGAUCUUUAACAAUCUUGUUUCAUUUUUAAUAAAAUAAGCAAAUUAAGACAUUUGACUGUUAGUGAUGGCUACUUGUUUGAAAACCUAAAGAGAUAGGUUUAUCACCUCAUCAUCCGUUUCAUGGUGGGAAGCAUUAGAAACUGAUGGCUAAAUAUUGCUAUAAAUAAAAUAUAGUGAAUAAGGACAUUCGGAAAUGUUAAUUUAUUGAAAUGUUAAUUAUUAUGCGGUUGUAUUUAAUAGUUUGUAUGAUCGCUUGCUUGUUAAGUAAGUACAUGGAGAAACUAUUAUGCGGUUGUCUUUCAUGUCUUCAGUGUCCGAACAAUGCAAACAAUGAUAGCUCCACUAUUAGGCGCGGAUUAAGUACAUGCUUAGAUAAGGAAAGUAUUUACCAGUUCACUUAGGACAAACUAAAUGAUAUACUCCGAAACAUUUUUGGCCCACUGAAUGUUAAUGUAUUAUUGGGAAUCGGGGCAAAUUGUAAACUUUACUACCUUACAGUGCUCCAUUGUUUCUCCAUUUUUAUUUUUUUGAGGCAUUUUCUUAGUUUUUCUUGUAUGGCUAAUUUCUGACUAUUUCAGGAAUUUAUUUCUUGUCUUGUUGCAUCCAAAUGAGGCACAAGAAUCCAACAUGAUGACUCUACUCAUGUAUAUAUUUGCAGGAUAACAUCGCUCUAGCCGUUGGUGCUAAUGAAGAGAUUCAUUUAAUGAAAGACCAACAAUAAGCUGAUAUAAUCUUGUGCAGUGGCUCGAACACAGAUCCACGGAGAGAGUUGAUUUGUGGGAAAGAGGUGGGUGAUGGAUGAUGGAGCAAGUUGCCGGAGAGGUGGCGGAGAAUUGAUAGAGGAACAAGGAACAUCUGAUUUCGAUGUGUGAGCACCGGAGGUGGAUGUAUAUUGCGGUGCACAUUCGUAGGAGGAUGCCCACGUUCUGGCAUUAUUUUUGUACUAGGAUCUUGGAAUUGAGUGUGUAAUCCGAUUUCAGUGUGUAUGGUGGUUUUCAUUUCAAAUCAAUUUCAGCUCAGAAUUUUCUUUGAUAAUUGA